rnacentral:rRNA from 1 species
CAGCAGCAGGCGAUAGAGGGCCUCCCCAACGACCUCCUUCGGGAGAUCCUGUCGCGGUUGCCUUACCAGUCUCUGUGCCGCUCAAAGUGCGUGUCGGCAGCGUGGCUUGCGAUGUGUUCCGACCCCGCCGUCCGUCGGAGAUCGCCGCAGACGCUCUCCGGUUUCUUCGGCCUCUCCCGCAGCGGCAGCAACCGUUUUGUCAACGUUUCCGGGAGAGGCCGACCGCUAAUUGACCCUUCUUUUCCUUUCCUCCACGGCUUCCAAAACGUCAAGAUCGUAAACUGCUGCGGCGGCAUCCUUCUAUGCCAUGGUAUGCGAGCGGAGGGCGUGGAAUACAUUGUGUGUAACCCUGCGACCGAGGAGAUCUGGGCCGUGCUGCCCGUGCCUGAUACCCAUGAGACACCACGUCCUCAUGCUUACCGCACCAUUUGCUUGUGUUUCGAUCCGAUCGUCCCUUCUCGCUUUGCGGUGUUUGUCAUCAUUCAGAAUGGUCGCGACAUUACCAUUAUGGAGGUCUACUCAUCGGAUACCAGAGAAUGGACUUCCAUGUCGAGCCCAUGGGGUCACAAAAUUGUGUUAUAUGGCUUGGAACCAGAAUGCUUCUUCUUAAAUAGCACUCUACAUUCCAGUGCCUAUGAUUCUCGUGUGGAGACAUUUGACUCGGAGGGUAAUUCAAUAAACAUGGUAGUUAUAGUGGACACAAGCGGGGAUACUUGGAGGACAACUCGACAGCCGACCAAAGCUAAACUGAAUUUCUUUGGGCACUCUCAAGGACGAUUACAUGGAAUGGAUAUAGACAAUCGUAAUGGUUGCCGGAUAUCAGUUUGGGUUCUCGAGGACUAUGCUAGUGGACAGUGGACCUUAAAGCACACUGCCAGUGUUCUGGAGUUGGUAGGAAAGCCUUCUCGUGAGUGCGAUGAGUACUACACCUUGGUUGCAAUCGAUCCAGAACGUAACCUUAUUUUCCUUAAUGGCGGGGUGGAGCCGGAACAGACACUUAUGUCGUAUGAUUUGGAUACCCAGAAGUUGCAUGUUAUCUGCACUCUUGAAGAUUAUCAGAGGAAAAUUUUCCGACCUUACAUUCCCUGCUUUGUGGAA